UAGGGAAUUUUCGUCAAUGGGGGGAACCCUGAACGAGCAAUGCUGCGUGUGUGAAGAAGGUCUUCGGAUCGUAAAGCACUGUUGUAAGUGAAGAAUGCCACAUAGAGGAAAUGCUAUGUGGGUGACGGUAGCUUACCAGAAAGCCACGGCUAACUACGUGCCAGCAGCCGCGGUAAUACGUAGGUGGCAAGCGUUAUCCGGAAUCAUUGGGCGUAAAGGGUGCGUAGGUGGCACGAUAAGUCUGAAGUAAAAGGCAACAGCUCAACUGUUGUAUGCUUUGGAAACUGUCGAGCUAGAGUGCAGAAGAGGGCGAUGGAAUUCCAUGUGUAGCGGUAAAAUGCGUAGAUAUAUGGAGGAACACCAGUGGCGAAGGCGGUCGCCUGGUCUGUAACUGACACUGAUGCACGAAAGCGUGGGGAGCAAAUAGGAUUAGAUACC
rnacentral:rRNA from 1 species